GACGAACGCUGGCGGCGUGCUUAACACAUGCAAGUCGAACGGAAAGGCCCUGCUCUUGUUGGGUGCUCGAGUGGCGAACGGGUGAGUAACACGUGAGUAACCUGCCCUUGACUGUGGGAUAACUUCAGGAAACUGGGGCUCAUACCGGAUAGGAGCUCCUGCUGCAUGGUGGGGGUUGGAAAGUUUCGGCGGUUGGGGAUGGACUCGCGGCUUAUCCGCUUGUUGGUGGGGUAGUGGCGUACCAAGGCUUUGACGGGUAGGCGGCAUGAGAGGGUGACCGGCCACAUGGGGACUGAGAUACGGCGCAGACUCCUACGGGAGGCAGUAGUGGGGAGUAUUGCACAAUGGGGGGAAGCCUGAUGCAGCAACGCCGCGUGCGGGAUGACGGCCUUCGGGUUGUAAACCGCUUUGGACUGUGACGAAGCGUGAGUGACGGUAAUGGGUAAAGAAGCACCGGCUAACUACGUG
rnacentral:rRNA from 1 species